AGCAUAUCAAUAAGCGGAGGAAAAGAAACCAACAGGGAUUGCCUCAGUAACGGCGAGUGAAGCGGCAACAGCUCAAAUUUGAAAUCUGGCCUCUUUGGGGUCCGAGUUGUAAUUUGUAGAGGAUGUUUCGGGUACCGCCUCGGUUUAAAUUUCUUGGAACAGAAUGUCAGAGAGGGUGAGAAUCCCGUCUUGGACCGGCGGUAGGGCCCAUGUGAAACUCCUUNGACGAGUNGAGUUGUUUGGGAAUGCAGCUCAAAAUGGGUGGUAAAUUUCAUCUAAAGNUAAAUAUUGGCCAGAGACCGANAGNGCACAAGUAGAGUGAUNGAAAGAUGAAAAGCACUUUGAAAAGAGAGUUAAACAGUAUGUGAAANNGNNGAAAGGGAAGCGCUUACAACCAGACUUGCGCGCGGCGGUUCCCCCUUCCUUUUGGUUGGGNUANUCCGUNGUGUCCAGGCCAACAUCGGUU
rnacentral:rRNA from 1 species